UCCCCCACUGCAGCACUGGGGCGGGGAGAGGGUGGCCACCUCCAAGCUGUGGCGCACGCGCAGAGUCGUGCAUCUGCAGCGGCAGCCAUCUUUGAGAGCCGCACAAUGGCUGUGACGCGGCAUAGGACCUUUGCGAGCCUGAGCCUGCCUUUAACAACCGCCUGUCUUUGAGAACUGUGUUCAGAACGCAAGGAAAAUCAGUGCGAGGGAGACGUCCCGGCGGUGUCACAUCCCAGAACCUGGCAAGUCUCUCACGAGAUGCGUAAAGAUACCAAGGAAAAGAAUCAACAUCACUCAAAGACUGCAUUCUAUUCUCUUCUGGGGAAGGGGAGAAGGCAAAGCUGCAUAAGGAAAAAGCUUUUGACCUUGGUCCUUCACACUGUCAUCUUACUCCAGACUGCAAAAAGACAGAAGUCUCUACUUACCACUGCUUUAUUGCAAUGUGACUCAACAAGACCCAGGGUGAAGAACUAGACAUUGAGACUGGAAGCAAUGGAAUCCUGAAAAGGCCCUAGGUGGUUUCUUUUGUGGGUCCUUAAUCCCUUGAGAACCCUCAAUGAAGGAUACGGGGCCUAAAGUACCAAUGACUGUGGGAGCUGAGGGGCUGAAGUAAGAAGGGGAGAGUCCAUCAGAGUGGAUGGAGGGAUAGAGGAGGUUUCUGCACGGGGACCUAUGAGAUUUUAAGAGGAUAACUGUACAUUACAGUAAAGGAAAUAAUCAGGCCUUUGUGAGACUACUGUGAUACUGGCACUGAACUGACACUGUUUCCAGGAGACUCAGAAAGUCCAUGUAGGCCUCCAGGUCUUACAGUGGGAACCACAGCCACUCAAAUGGAAAGUCAGUGCAGUGGGAGUAAUUGGAUCCCAGAAUGGCAGUGGCCAAGUGGCAUCACUCAAACUUCAAAGGCCAGACCCAUCAGAAACAGUUUUGUUUAAGGUGGCAAGGCCAGCAAUACAUCUUCACUGUCUUACCUCUGAAGUACAUCAACUCUCCAGCCCUAAAUUACAUUUGGUGUGCGGGGAUCUUGAUCAACAUUCCCUUUCAAAGGAUAUCAUAUUGACCCAUUAUGUUAAUGAAAUUGUGCUGAAUGGACCCAGUAAGCAGAAAUAACAACUACUGUACACUUGUUGGAUUCAUGAACAGAUUGUCAUGGUGGCGGGAUUGAAGGUUAUGCAUGGGCUCAGAAACAUGGACCUCCACUCACCCAGGCUGAGUGCUAAUCUGCCAGCAGCAGACAGCAACACUGUGUCGUUGACAUGGCACAAUUCUAAGGAUGUUCAGCCAGCUAUUUGGUAGCAGGUUGAUUACAUUGGACCACUUUCAUCAUGGAAAGGGAUCUUUAUCACCAUUCUUUCCCCAAAGAUAUUACACUAAUCAACUACAUUAAUGAAUUUAUGCUGAUAGAACCUAUUGAACAAGAAUUGCAACUUCUCUACAGUUAUUGAACAAGUUUUGGCCUGCUACUGGGCCUUAGCAGAAACUGAAUGCUUGACCAUUGGCCACAAAGUAACCAUGUGACCUGAGCUGCUUACCAUCAGCUGGAUGUUAUCUGACCUAUUAUGCAUAAAGAUGGGCAUGCACAGUUAUAGUCCAUCAUGAACAGAAAGUGCCUACAGCUAAGACCUCAUGAAUAGCUUCCUAAGAUCAGUUGACAGAGGAAGAGAAAACACAAGUCUGUUUACAGAUGGUUUUGCACCAUAUACAGACUUUAUGCUCUGUUGAACUAGAAGUCUAUGUUCCAGAAGAAAGAAUGCUUCCAACAGGAGAUAAAAUGAUAACCCCCUCGAAUAAAAGUUAAGACUGCCACCUG